rnacentral:snRNA from 1 species
AUCGCUUCUCGGCCUUUCGGCUAAGGUCAAGUGCAGUAUGGCUUCUCAGCCUUUUGGCGAAGAUCAAAAGUAGUCCCUCGCUUCUCGGCCUCUUGGCUUACAGUUGCUUGCUGCGUCGCCGAACUCGUGGACCUGCCCACGGGUCUUUC